UUUUAGGCUAAUAAUAAUUUUGUUCAAAUACAUUCUCUACACUCUUAAGGCUGAUUUCAUUGAUCCCAAGUGAAUUUCUUUUCCUAGAGGAAGGUAAUUGCAUGUUUUGACAAAAGACUCAAUGGAAAAAUUCUACUUUAUUCUACACAGCUCUACCAGUCAGAAGUAAUUUGGGUAUUCUGUAUAUUACAAUUCUGCUUGUCAGAAUUCUGAAAUGGAAAUAUUUCAUAUGUGCUAAAUAUUUGCCAUUUCCCAGGGGCAGUGAGCUGUUUACGUACGUUCUGCUCUGUGCCCAGCAGUGCCGGGCUUCCUCCCCUGCUGGUGUCCAGGGCACAAGCCAGAGAAGCUCAGCUCCAUCUCUCUGUGGGCUCAGGCAGCCAGUCCUCCUGCUUAAUAAAUAACUGAAUUCAGUAGGGUAGAAUUAGGAAACCACCUUUUUCUUCACAUUAAACAGGUAAUGUAAAACUUUAAGGAAUGUUUCCACAACUAACUUAAAAUGGUAUUCUUUUGGACUUUUCUUUCUCAAUUCUUGAAAAAAGCUUCGGCGGGGCCUUUUGGGGAUAUUAUUGAAGAGUGCUGUUUUCAGGUAUUAGAAAGCCCAGUUCAGUCCAACUUUCCAUCCUGCAUACAACUUAAAGGUUUCCUGUAAGCUCUCCACCCUCAGCCCAGCUCAACCCUGUCCCUAAAGCUUGAGGUUCAGCGGUGGGAAGGAUGGGCAAUAUUUGUUCUUUUACUCUCUUCUUUCUUCGCCUGUUUCACCCUCCAAACUCCUAGACUGUGGCUCUUGGGAUAUAUCCAUUUGGAGAAUAAGAUACUAGCUCCCCCUUGUGCCAAGCACCUGCACACUGUGAGUGAGUCACUUGAAAGUCUUCCAGUUGGCUCUGGGGGGGUGAGACCAUCCCUGUCUCAUCUCUACCUAUAAAUUCACCUCUGUAGAACUUUCUUUCUAAUGAAUCUCUAUUUUUCUCUUUCACACGAUGCCGGGGACAUGAGCAAUGGAUGAUUUUGGCUUCCUCUGAAUAACUCCUGAGAGGGCAUGUGUAGUUCCUCUGUGGGAGGACAUUGUCGCCUGUGUCAACAGCUUUGAGGCUUUAGCUAAACUUGUGGGAGGUUAUAAACUCCAUGGAAGUUCCCUAAUAGUGUCCCAUAACUGACCAUUGUCUUGAUACACACUGGGUUCAUAGGAAAGAUACGGCAUGUGGAAGACACUGUGCAUGAGGUGAAUGAGGAGUUCUUCCAGCUCUCUUCUCCAGCCCUGGAGCUCCAGAAAGAGGAGGAUGAGCCAGACCCACUGCCCCCAGCCUGAAAAUACUGAGGACGGGCAUGGAAAAGGAGCACUAACAAUGGCUGUUGUAGAUGUAGCCUAAUUAAUAGUGCACACCUCUGGGACCAGGAGCUUUCUGCAAGAUGCAUCUUCCAUCCAGGCUGUUCCCUGUCCUAGCUGCAGACGCAUGAAAGGAUGGAGAAGAAAGGAGGAUGAAAGAUAGAAGUGAUCAUGCCAUUGUGUCUGCACUGAGACCCUGGACCUCUGGACUUUCACACCGAAGCCCAGUGCCUCACUUGUCCCAGCCUCGUCCCUGCAUGCUAAAAUUAGCGAAGCACCCUGGGUGGCGGAGGGGCAUGGCGUUUGCUCUAAGCUGAGGGGUCAGUUCCUCUGUGAACCCGCCCUCCGUCCACCUCAGACGGGCAGUCGUGAAGGUAGCUCGACAGCAGAGGGACUAGGUAGGUGCAGCAGCCUGUCCUCAGCUGCACUGAGGGGCCAGAAGAGCAUGACUUGGUGAGGACAAAGUAACAGGUGUCUCCCAGCAUCUCCCCUUGUGAGUGGCAGGAAGAUAAACUUCAUCCACUGGAGACAAGUGGCCCAGAUGGAGAGAAGCUGGGACCCUGGGCCCUGAAGAGCCACUAGGCCCUGGAGCUGGAGGUGAGAAGAGUCCACCUGGCUCAGAGGAUUGAAGACCUGGAGUGGGAGCUGUCCCUGCUCCAUGAGGCGGCCAACAGCAGUUUGAGCAUGGGAGGGAGCUGGCCCAGCUGACACAGCGGCCUAAGGGGCACUGAGUCACAUCAGAUGCUGCAUGGUGGCCACCUCCGGGAGGUGCCUUCUCACCGAGAACAUGAACGGGCUCCCCUGGUAGGAAGGAGUGGGCAUCUGGGGCCCGGAGUGUGUGCUGGUUUUACGACGUGCUCCUAAAGGGAAACACCUGGAUUUCUUUCAGAGCCUGGACCUCAGCUUGUGCUCAAUUCUGCCUUGAACUUUCUGGGGUGAGGGAAAAUAAACUGACAUGGGUUGACAAAA